GGGUUGUGAGGUUAAGCGACUAAGCGUACACGGUGGAUGCCCUGGCAGUCAGAGGCGAUGAAGGACGUGCUAAUCUGCGAUAAGCGUCGGUAAGGUGAUAUGAACCGUUAUAACCGGCGAUUUCCGAAUGGGGAAACCCAGUGUGAUUCGUCACACUAUCAUUAACUGAAUCCAUAGGUUAAUGAGGCGAACCGGGGGAACUGAAACAUCUAAGUACCCCGAGGAAAAGAAAUCAACCGAGAUUCCCCCAGUAGCGGCGAGCGAACGGGGAGGAGCCCAGAGCCUGAAUCAGUGUGUGUGUUAGUGGAAGCGUCUGGAAAGGCGCGCGAUACAGGGUGACAGCCCCGUACACAAAAAUGCACAUACUGUGAGCUCGAUGAGUAGGGCGGGACACGUGGUAUCCUGUCUGAAUAUGGGGGGACCAUCCUCCAAGGCUAAAUACUCCUGACUGACCGAUAGUGAACCAGUACCGUGAGGGAAAGGCGAAAAGAACCCCGGCGAGGGGAGUGAAAAAGAACCUGAAACCGUGUACGUACAAGCAGUGGGAGCCUCUUAAUGGGGUGACUGCGUACCUUUUGUAUAAUGGGUCAGCGACUUAUAUUCUGUAGCAAGGUUAACCGAAUAGGGGAGCCGAAGGGAAACCGAGUCUUAACUGGGCGUUAAGUUGCAGGGUAUAGACCCGAAACCCGGUGAUCUAGCCAUGGGCAGGUUGAAGGUUGGGUAACACUAACUGGAGGACCGAACCGACUAAUGUUGAAAAAUUAGCGGAUGACUUGUGGCUGGGGGUGAAAGGCCAAUCAAACCGGGAGAUAGCUGGUUCUCCCCGAAAGCUAUUUAGGUAGCGCCUCGUGAAUUCAUCUCCGGGGGUAGAGCACUGUUUCGGCAAGGGGGUCAUCCCGACUUACCAACCCGAUGCAAACUGCGAAUACCGGAGAAUGUUAUCACGGGAGACACACGGCGGGUGCUAACGUCCGUCGUGAAGAGGGAAACAACCCAGACCGCCAGCUAAGGUCCCAAAGUCAUGGUUAAGUGGGAAACGAUGUGGGAAGGCCCAGACAGCCAGGAUGUUGGCUUAGAAGCAGCCAUCAUUUAAAGAAAGCGUAAUAGCUCACUGGUCGAGUCGGCCUGCGCGGAAGAUGUAACGGGGCUAAACCAUGCACCGAAGCUGCGGCAGCGACGCUUAUGCGUUGUUGGGUAGGGGAGCGUUCUGUAAGCCUGUGAAGGUGGCCUGUGAGGGUUGCUGGAGGUAUCAGAAGUGCGAAUGCUGACAUAAGUAACGAUAAAGCGGGUGAAAAGCCCGCUCGCCGGAAGACCAAGGGUUCCUGUCCAACGUUAAUCGGGGCAGGGUGAGUCGACCCCUAAGGCGAGGCCGAAAGGCGUAGUCGAUGGGAAACAGGUUAAUAUUCCUGUACUUGGUGUUACUGCGAAGGGGGGACGGAGAAGGCUAUGUUGGCCGGGCGACGGUUGUCCCGGUUUAAGCGUGUAGGCUGGUUUUCCAGGCAAAUCCGGAAAAUCAAGGCUGAGGCGUGAUGACGAGGCACUACGGUGCUGAAGCGACAAAUGCCCUGCUUCCAGGAAAAGCCUCUAAGCAUCAGGUAACAUUAAAUCGUACCCCAAACCGACACAGGUGGUCAGGUAGAGAAUACCAAGGCGCUUGAGAGAACUCGGGUGAAGGAACUAGGCAAAAUGGUGCCGUAACUUCGGGAGAAGGCACGCUGAUAUGUAGGUGAAGCGACUUGCUCGUGGAGCUGAAAUCAGUCGAAGAUACCAGCUGGCUGCAACUGUUUAUUAAAAACACAGCACUGUGCAAACACGAAAGUGGACGUAUACGGUGUGACGCCUGCCCGGUGCCGGAAGGUUAAUUGAUGGGGUUAGCGGUAACGCGAAGCUCUUGAUCGAAGCCCCGGUAAACGGCGGCCGUAACUAUAACGGUCCUAAGGUAGCGAAAUUCCUUGUCGGGUAAGUUCCGACCUGCACGAAUGGCGUAAUGAUGGCCAGGCUGUCUCCACCCGAGACUCAGUGAAAUUGAACUCGCUGUGAAGAUGCAGUGUACCCGCGGCAAGACGGAAAGACCCCGUGAACCUUUACUAUAGCUUGACACUGAACAUUGAGCCUUGAUGUGUAGGAUAGGUGGGAGGCUUUGAAGUGUGGACGCCAGUCUGCAUGGAGCCGACCUUGAAAUACCACCCUUUAAUGUUUGAUGUUCUAACGUGGGCCCCUUACCGGGGUUGCGGACAGUGUCUGGUGGGUAGUUUGACUGGGGCGGUCUCCUCCUAAAGAGUAACGGAGGAGCACGAAGGUUGGCUAAUCCUGGUCGGACAUCAGGAGGUUAGUGCAAUGGCAUAAGCCAGCUUGACUGCGAGCGUGACGGCGCGAGCAGGUGCGAAAGCAGGUCAUAGUGAUCCGGUGGUUCUGAAUGGAAGGGCCAUCGCUCAACGGAUAAAAGGUACUCCGGGGAUAACAGGCUGAUACCGCCCAAGAGUUCAUAUCGACGGCGGUGUUUGGCACCUCGAUGUCGGCUCAUCACAUCCUGGGGCUGAAGUAGGUCCCAAGGGUAUGGCUGUUCGCCAUUUAAAGUGGUACGCGAGCUGGGUUUAGAACGUCGUGAGACAGUUCGGUCCCUAUCUGCCGUGGGCGCUGGAGAACUGAGGGGGGCUGCUCCUAGUACGAGAGGACCGGAGUGGACGCAUCACUGGUGUUCGGGUUGUCAUGCCAAUGGCACUGCCCGGUAGCUAAAUGCGGAAGAGAUAAGUGCUGAAAGCAUCUAAGCACGAAACUUGCCCCGAGAUGAGUUCUCCCUGAGACUUAGAGUCUCCUGAAGGAACGUUGAAGACGACGACGUUGAUAGGCCGGGUGUGUAAGCGCAGCGAUGCGUUGAGCUAACCGGUACUAAUGAACCGUGAGGCUUAACCUUACAACGCCGAAG
rnacentral:rRNA from 1 species